rnacentral:rRNA from 1 species
UGGGGAAUAUUGGGCAAUGGGCGCAAGCCUGACCCAGCAACGCCGCGUGAAGGAAGAAGGCUUUCGGGUUGUAAACUUCUUUUCUGAGGGACGAUAGUGACGGUACCUCAGGAAUAAGCCACGGCUAACUACGUGCCAGCAGCCGCGGUAAUACGUAGGUGGCAAGCGUUAUCCGGAUUUACUGGGUGUAAAGGGCGUGUAGGCGGGACUGCAAGUCAGAUGUGAAAACCAGAGGCUCAACCUCUGGCCUGCAUUUGAAACUGUAGUUCUUGAGUGUUGGAGAGGCAGGCGGAAUUCCGUGUGUAGCGGUGAAAUGCGUAGAUAUGUGGAAGAACACCGAUGGCGAAGGCAGCCUCCUGGGACAUAACUGACGCUCAGGCACGAAAGCGUGGGGAGCAAACAGGAUUAGAUACCC